rnacentral:lncRNA from 1 species
UCCAAGAGCUGACAGGCCAGGGAAACUCUGGGGCUGAGAGCUGGGCGGAGAAGAGAAGCCAUCUGAAGAGUGCCCUUUCCCCUCAACCAUGCCAAAGAGUUGGCACCAUUUGAGGGUUCCAUUGAGCCUGCUGAUGGGAAGGUGCUUAGCCAGAGAGCUGCACCACCAAAGAUGCAGGUGACUGAGUCCCUAUACCCCAGUAACUGCCGCUGCCAGCAUGGCUACCUGAAGAAGACGUGGUGUGCUGCCCAAAGAGGGACAGUCCUCUUGUGCCAUAGACCUGAGAGCUGGGAAUCCAGAUGGAUUCUAUUUUACAUAUCUCUAGGUAGAAGUGAAUACUACCUUCCUUCAAUUAGGCACUCGGGCAGUAAACACAACAGUUUGGCUGUGACUUUGUCACCAACGGAAAUCACAGGUAUUUUCAUAUCAAGUUACAGAUCUAUGGCUAUCCCAGCGCAUUGCUUAUGUUCACCAUUAUUUUAAAUUACAGUCAUUCUGCAUCUAGGCUUUUCAUGGAAUGCUUUAAUAAAGACGCAAACAUACCCUUGAUUCAAAA